GACGAACGCUGGCGGCGUGCUUAACACAUGCAAGUCGAACGGAAAGGCCCUGCUUUUGUGUGGUGCUCGAGUGGCGAACGGGUGAGUAACACGUGAGUAACCUGCCCUUGACUUUGGGAUAACUUCAGGAAACUGGGGCUAAUACCGCAUAGAAUCUCCUGCUGCAUGGUGGGGGUUGGAAAGUUUCGGCGGUUGGGGAUGGACUCGCGGCUUAUCAGCUUGUUGGUGGGGUAGUGGCUUACCAAGGCUUAGACGGGUAGCCGGCCUGAGAGGGUGACCGGCCACAUUGGGACUGAGAUACGGCCCAGACUCCUACGGGAGGCAGCAGUGGGGAAUAUUGCACAAUGGGCGGAAGCCUGAUGCAGCGACGCCGCGUGCGGGAUGACGGCCUUCGGGUUGUAAACCGCUUUCGCCUGUGACGAAGCGUGAGUGACGGUAAUGGGUAAAGAAGCACCGGCUAACUACGUG
rnacentral:rRNA from 1 species